rnacentral:rRNA from 1 species
AGAGCGAACGCUGGCGGCAGGCCUAACACAUGCAAGUCGAGCGCUCGUAGCAAUACGGGAGCGGCAGACGGGAUAGUAACACGUGGGAACGCGCCCUUCGGUUCGGAAUAACUCAGGGAAACUUGAGCUAAUACCGGAUACGCCCUUACGGGGAAAGAUUUAUUGCCGAAGGAACGGCCCGCGUCCGAUUAGCUAGUUGGUGAGGUAAUGGCUCACCAAGGCGACGAUCGGUAGCUGGUCUGAGAGGAUGACCAGCAUCACUGGGACUGAGACACGGCCCAGACUCCUACGGGAGGCAGCAGUGGGGAAUCUUGCGCAAUGCGCGAAAGCGUGACGCAGCAACGCCGCGUGGGGGAAGAAGGCCCUCGGGUUGUAAACCCCUUUCAGUUGGGACGAAGCUUCGUCGGUUAAUAGCCGACUGGAGUGACGGUACCUUCACAAGAAGCACCGGCUAACUACGCGCCAGCAGCCGC